UGUAGUCCCAGCUACUCGGGAGGCUGAGGCAGGAGAAUCGCUUGAACCUGGGAGGCGGAGGUUGCAGUGAGCCGAGAUUGCACGAUUGUACUCCAGCCUGGGUAGUAAGAGCGAAACUCCAUCUCAGAAAAACAAAAAACAAAAACAAAAAAGCAAAACAACCCUUGGCUCCUCAAGCAUGUGAGCUCAGGCAGGGCCAGCCCAGCCUUAACUGUGGAGGCUGGUGGGACAGUCCCAUGGGGAAGCCCACUGCUGCGCCGCUUGGAGGAGGAAACCCAGCAUGUGAGGCUGCUCAUUGUCACGUGGUUUGCUGUGCUCUGCAGAAGGAGAUUCUGUGUUCACACCCAGGAUGUCAUGGAAGAGGAGCUCAUCCCAUUCAUCUCCCUGGCACAGGGUAGACACUUGGGGGAUGCUGCAUUAAGUGAAGUGAACCUGACUCUGUUUCUUUAGCCCCAGCCCACCCGAGUCUCAAUCUUCCCAUCUGUCAAGAGAAAUAAUAAGAUUAUUUGCCUCUAAACAGGUGGCUGAGAUCAUAGAUAGUGCAAAUGAUGUCACUGUUGGACUCUCCGGUGUUAUAUAAAUUUAAGACAUGAACAAUAAAGAAACUACCGAUAUUUACUGCUCAGACAUGCCCACGUUAAGAUUUUAAUGGCUAAAAGGCAGUUGUUUUUCCAUCUGACAUUAUGUUAUUCAACAGAGUAAGUAGUCUAAGUUGGAGGAAUCCCCUUGGGAAUUGACUACAAAGAGCAAAUAAAAAAGAGUAACAGAUCCAAGACCCUUACCCCUUAAAUUUAUUUUCACUUCCUAAAUUGAACUUCAUGCAAAAUAGGUUAUUUAUCACUAGGGUAAAAUAAGAUAAUGGGGAGGUUUAAUUAGCCAAAGCCCUGUGAUAACGCGUUUCUUCCUUACCAAAUACCCAAUGAGAAUGCAUAUCAUUAAUUCUGUGGUUAGCUAAUAAGAAAAUGAAAAAAGCUCCCUUAAUUUUUCCUUGAAAAAAUUUUUAAACUAACACAAAGAUGCCAAUGAAUGAGUAUUUUGCUUACAUCCAUUCACUCCAUCCAACUCUCAUUCAAAUGCUCAUUGUGCACCUGCUAAGGUCAGGUGCGUGCUUUCUGCCAAGCAUUCCAAGAGGAACGUCACAUAGUCUUUGCCCUCAGGAAGCGUACGGUCUGGUUGGGAAAGAGAUGCUUCCAACAAUAAUUCUGAUACCUGUGUGAUAUGGUUUGGCUGUGUCCCCACCCAAAUCUCAUCCUGAAUCCUACUCCCAUAAUUCCCACGUGUUGUGGGAUGGAACUGGUGAGAGAUAAUUGAAUCACGAGCGCGGUUUCUCCCAUACUGUUCUUGUGCUAGUGAAUAAAUCUCACGAGAUCUGAUGGUUUUAUAAACGAGAAGCCCUUUUCGCUUGACCCUCAUUAUAGCUCAUGCCGCAGCCAGGUAAGAAGUGCCUUUCGCCUUCCGCCUUCCGCCAUGACUGUUAGGCCUCCCUAGCCACGUGGAACUUUAAGUCCAUUAAACGUCUUUCUUUUAUAAAUUGCCCAGUCUUGGGUAUGUCUUUAUCAGCAGCGCGAAAACAGAUUACUAACACACUGUGGUAAAGGUGAAAUCAGUGCUCACUCCUUCGGGUGAAUUCCGUCACAUAAUCUCCACUGGGGAAGGGGUGGGCAUGGGCAGCUCCUGGGAGCUGAUGUCUUAGGGGCCCUAACACAAAAGUUCAUGCAGUUCAGCAUCCCUUCCCCUCCCAUGCCCCACAGGGCACAAACGCAUUGUUGUCCAUCACCAAAACACAUUACCCUUAGUACUCGACUCUAAUGAAGUUCCAGUUCCUCAGUUGUAUAACGAGGCUUCCAAGCUCCUAUUUUAAAAGAAAGUUUCUUGAAGCUAAAUAAAAGCACUGCUAACAUGAAAUUAACAGUGGAAAUUUUUGAGUGUAAUUUCAGGGUGAAAAAAACUGAAAAGACAAAUGUAGAUUUUAGAUAUUUCAAGGAAGGAGAGAGAGUAGUGUUGCUGGUACCAUGCCUCUGCACUUGCUAUAGCUGAGUUUCAUUUGAGUAUCCAUUAUUUGGAAGGAGUUCUUAAAUCUAAGCCUGUGGAAGACAAUAAAUUCACAUUAAUUAUCUCUCCAUUUGACUCAAUUUCUGAAGAAGUUCUAUCCUUCUGAUGAACUAUCAGAUUAAAUCCCAGAUUCCUCAGUAUGAUGUCCCUGAAUACCAAUAUAAAGAAUAAAGGAAGAGAUCAAAACCUGGAUGAAUAAUCUGUAUAAACAUGGGCAUAUACACAAGGUAUGACUAUAAUAUUGAGACUCAUCCUAUAAAGCACCUACAAAAGUUGAUUGUAUUAUUUUAUACUUAUGCUUGUGCACAUAAAAAAUAUUUGGCAGGCUAAAGGCCAAAGAACCAGGCACUGUUCUCAAAAGGACAUAGCAGAUUAACUACACCUCUAUUUGUCCUUCUAUACUCAAGGCUACUUACUGUAGUUGGGUUGACCAGGCAGAGUUUAAAUCAAUAUAUGUUGGUUGAGCCUGGAUCUUAGAUGAGAAAUUCACACUAACGUGAAAUUCACACAGACAUAUGUGGAAACACUAAAAACAUUUUCUUUUACUUCAUCCACCAGUGACUUUAAUGAAAGCAGAGCAUAAUAAUUAAUACAAGUAAUUAGAGUUGACAACUGAAGUGUCAAGAAAACCACAGUUCAUCUGUUAUCCGUCCAUCUCUGUUGAAAUAUUAGUUUACUGCCAUAUAUUAAUCUAUUUAUAAAGAGAUCCAGACAAUUAGAAAAAUUAGUCUGGAAUCACCAGGCUGAAGGCUUAGCUGAAGUUAAAAGACAAGUAAAAAUGCCUCCAAACUGUAAAACCUGAGUUGGGGAAUAAAUGGUAAAAUGUGUAAAAAUUUAGAAAAAGGUUAUAUGUGGACUGUAAAAAAUACACUGGACUCACAGGUAAUUAAGGGGUGAAUCAGAGUUGUUUCCUAAAUGGCAUAAGCCAAACUCUUAGAUAUUUCUACCAUUAGCUAAAAGGCAGAGAAGCACUCUCUCUCUCUAUUAAUGCACUUUUAAAAAUGAAAAUUGUGAAGUGUUCUGCCCUUAAAGUGGACCUUUAUUUCAGGUCUGCAUUACUUUGCUUAAUAGAUAUGGUCCUAAAGAUUAAGGUGGUGAUCCAUUUUAUCUUGUAAAAAUGCAUAAUUUAAUCUGAGUUAUAGGAAUUUAAAGCUGCCCUACUUUGAAGGCCUUUGUGACUCAAAGAUUUUUUUAAUUUAAUUUUUAAAUUGAGAAUUACCUGGCUUGGGCUUUUGGUCUUUUUAUAAUACGUAUUGCUGUCUACUUUUUUUUUUAUUCUUGGCUGCCUCAAGCUAUUCUUGCCUCCAAAAGGUGUCAGCAUAUGAAUAAAAACAGCAGAAAAUAAUUACCCUAAUUAGGUCAAUGUAUUAAGCUGUUUCUACAACUGUUUCUCUUAAACACCUUAUCUUUGUAGUCUUGGCUCAUUAGAAAUUCGACUAGUGGUAAGUAUUUAUUUUUUUCCUUCAAGGGGGUUUUUGCUUUGCUAAGCCUCGGGCAUUUGGUUCGUGCAAGAAAUCACAGAAACUGCUCCAGCGGACUCCGAAAGGAGCGGAAAAUUCUUUUGUUUGGGGGCCAUGAGGGGUGGGGGAGGGGUGGGGAUUCUGGUGUAAGCUUUUGGCUUGCAUUCGCUUUCUCCCUCCGAAAGUGGGCGACAUCAAGCAAGUCCCAGUUACAGAAAGAACCCACUGCAGGGCGUCCAGUCACUUGCCCAGUGAAAAGACUGUAAUCAGACAACUUUAAUAAAGGGAGAGCAGGAGAGUGGUGACGAAUUUCCACAUUCCGAACAAGCUUGUCGAAAGAGGAGUGCAGGGAAGGAGCAAGAAUGAGGCACUGGAAGACGGUGAGCGGGGCCUUGCCACAGAAUCCCGGGCCCACCUGCUUUCUCACAGUCGCGACAGCCGGCCCGGAGAAGGGCAGCCCAGCGAAGGGCACGCCCCGCGCGGGUGCCAGGGAGGCCGGCAGGGGCGUCCGCGGUCGCUGCUCACCUGCGCUCCCCGCUGCCCGGCCCAGCCCGCCUCGCCACCGAGUCUGGAAGCCCACACUCACCCCUUUACCCGGGAAACGCGGCCGGAGCCGGCGGCGGGUCGGGAGUCCGAGAUGGUAGAUCCCCCUCCAGGCGCCUCGCUGACAUUUUGUCCCGGACGGAAAACCUCCGCGCGUGCCCCUUAAAGACACAGCGCUGCAUUCACACGUCUGCGGGGAAAGGGGGGCCGUCACGUGUGGCCUUCGCCCGAAAGCGGUAGGGGAGUCGCUCUGAAACCGCCAAGGAUCGCGAGCGACAGAUUUGUGUUGGCCAGGGUUUUAAGAUGACGCAAUAGCUGAGUGUGGUUGAAAUGUAACUAUUGUUUUACAACUUUGCAUUAACCUUCCAAGACCUGAAUUCCCGGGCCUGAGUCUCAGAGCGCGGUUUGCAUCUUUGCAGGCUGUAGGCGCAUGAUGUCACAAGUUAUUGGAAGAAAUCCCUCCAACCUAGGUUGGGACAGAUGAAGGCGGCGCUUAUUGGUGUUCACCAAAACACCAGCAUGGUGUACCAGCUUUGGCUAGAUGAUGCUCAGACGGGCCUGUCUAAUUGCAGGAAAACAAACUCAGGGCUCCCACUGAUUCUACAUUACGAACACCAGAGACUGGGUAAUUAAUAAAAAGAAGAAAUUGAUCUGGCCUACAGUUCUGGAGCCUUGGAAGUCCGAGAUCAAGGAGCUGCAUCUGGGUUCUAGGAUGCCUCAUAAAGGCCCGUAGUGUACUUUCUGUCUACUUCACUUAGCUCCGCAUUUGCAAUUUCUGUUAACAUGCAUACAGUUGAAUGGAUGGCCAGGAUCAAAGCUAUCUGCUGUGAGACACAAUGAGAAAUGCUUUUGUGUAAAGGAAAACACAGAUCCUGGUGCCGAACAUGAGGACAGGGCAGGCCGAAGGAGAAAGUGGAAGGAGGGGAGCUUCUCUCUCAGCCUCAUCCUUCUGGGCCUGGAUGCUGGAGAGUCAUGAGGUGCUUCAGAGUACUCUGGGUGAGGAGGGAAAGAUGGUGCCCACCACAUGGAGGCCAGCCUAGGUCUUGUAUGAAACCUGUGAGCUAGCUGAAAGCAGAGAACCCAGCAGAGGAUUCUGGGAAGGUCCUGGGGGAUGGCAGAGCCAGCAGAGAGAGGGUAUGGAUCCACCAGGCAUAGGAUGGAACAGAGCACUAUUGACCACAGUGAACUGGGGCAUGGGCAAUCAAUAAACACAUAUUAGAUUAAGCUAUUGAGACUCAGGGAUUUUUAUACAACUGACAUUCCCUAAGAAGCCAUGAUCUUCCUGUCUCAGGAGGUGCAUAAGCAGUGGUUGAAUGUUCAACAGUCAAGAAUGUUAUAAAAAGAGGUUCUUGGGAGAGUGGACCUGAUGGCCAGCAAAAAUCAUAGCUCACAUUUAUUGAGUUAUUAUGGCUCAGGCAUGUGCACAUAUUCUUUUAUUUAAAUCUACAAUAUGCUUUAUCAUGCUCAUUUUAUACAUGAGGAACACAAGGCAUGGAGAGGUUAGAUAACAUGCCUAAGAUCAUGAAGCAAGCAAGGGGGAGAAAAGAUACCCUUCUCACUCCUUCCAGACAGCUCACUUCACCACCACUCCCCACUGUCUCUAAAGCAAAAGUUAUUUGAAGGCUUAGGGACUGGUUUGGUAUUAUCCAUGCAGGGCGGUUUGUUUUGUUUUUCUUUUAAAAUUUCAGCCUAUGCUUAAAAGAUUUCAUGUAAAAAUUCUGUUUUCUAGUUUCUCUUGAAAAUUAAGAAGAUCUGGUAAAACUGGGCUUGAAGACCAUUAUGGUAACAGGCUGCUGAAGCUGAGGAGAGGGCCCCUUCAGAUGGGCAUAAGCACUGCUCCCCCUCCCCAACCCCCCUUUUAGGUUACUAUCAGACUCUGGAAGCUUCUGAAUGUGUGAACCCUGAAAGAGUCCAUCUAAAGCUAAGUUCUCCCCAGGGGUAGAGCCCAAUGCUGGGCAUACAGUAGGG
rnacentral:lncRNA from 10 species